CACGGCCAGAUGUCCUUUUCAAGACCUUUCUGGUGCCCCGCUGUCACUUGAAUGAAGCGUCUGCGAGCACAAAGGGACGUGUUGGCUGAGCACCACGUGCUGAUGCCACAGCGCGCCGGCUCUCAGGGAUGACUCAGCGGCACGCCUAGUGAUGAGUAAGGCUCACCUCACCGCUCGCUUCCUGUAUGCCGGUGAUCUCACACGCCACACAAAGAGCUCUGAGGAAUCCUACGAGCUCUUCAUUACCGACUUUGCUUCCCUCUGGAUACCAAUUUAUUUUGAAGAGAUCUUCCUCUUGAG
ensembl:lncRNA